rnacentral:lncRNA from 1 species
AACAACAGUGAAUUGACGGUAACGGCGUCAGCUUUAUCAUCUUCUAAACCCUAAAUCACAUUCUUCACUUCUUCUUCACCAGAUCGACACCUUCCCACCACCGCCCUCCAUCAUCGUCUUCAACGCCAACGCCACUCACUCCGUCGCCCACAUCCGCCUCCAUCUCCAUCACCACUUCCCUGUCGCUGCUUCCGACCACCACGGCCUCACCCGUCUUCUCCAGCCAUACCGGAACCACUACGAACCACCGUAGAUCUAUGGUUAUCUAUGAUCCAAUCACAACAUAACCGAACAACAGUGAAUUGACGGUAACGGCGUCAGCUUUAUCAUCUUCUAAACCCUAAAUCACAUUCUUCACUUCUUCUUCACCAGAUCGACACCUUCCCACAACCGCCCUCCAUCAUCGUCUUCAACGCCAACGCCACUCACUCCGUCGCCCACAUCCGCCUCCAUCUCCAUCACCACUUCCCUAUCGCUGCUUCCGACCACCACGGCCUCACCCGUCUUCUCCAGCCAUACCGGAACCACUACAAACCACCGUAGAUCUAUGGUUAUCUAUGAUACAAAUGAGAUUGUGAGGUGUUAGAGAAAGAAAUGGAGCGAUGAGUAUUGCACCACCGUUGCCGGAGGCACCGGCUUCAGGUCAGCGUUUUGGUUUUUAUUUUUCUUUGCAUUUUGUGGUUUAAUGUUGGCUUACUUUGUGGUGUGGUUGUUACAACCAUUGGUAUUGUUGUUUCACCACCGCCGAUGAUUGGAGCCUGCCUAUUGGCGUGGCAACUCCGGUUGCAGCCUGGGCGACACUGAGCCGUCAAGACGAUGACGAUCUAUUAGAUCCGAGUCUGUUGGUUUAGUUAAAUCUGUUUUUUGUGAGGGUGAGAUAUGGGAUUUUGAUAUUGUCGGUGGUUUACGAAUCGUCUAUGACGGCGACGAACGAUGGUUGUGGAUGUAUAGUGUUUCCUUAAUUUUGGGGGUUUCGUGGUUAGCUUUUGUGUCAUUGUUGCACGUGAGUUUGAAACCAGCUAUGGUUGUUGCUUUUUUUUCCAUGGAUAUCGAUGUGUUGAGCUAUGAUGAUGUUGUAUGAAGUUUUUGGUGGUCUGAUAUACGAUGCUUACCUUGCCGUGAUGGUUUCCUGAGCCUUGGAUGUGUGUUUCCGUUAACCUUUGUGUGCAUUAUGUUGUUAUAUUUUGUUAUGGGUUGUACCCACUUCGUGGCUGUAACGAACUUAGAUUGGGUGAUGAUGAUUAUGAUGCAUUCUUGGCAUGGCAACUGUGAUGCUUGAAAUCAAGCAACCAGAACUGCAGCCAUGAAAUUAGAAUCUGAGCCUAAAAUCUGUAAAUUGAACAUGUGAGGAAGAGGAUUUUUUUUGCGAAAGAUUGAUCGGGGCUGUGCUAAUGAAGAAGAAGGUUUCUUAGACUGGAACAUGGGUGUCUGUUUGAUUUAAUUUUACCUUUACUAACCAUUUACAUUUGUGGUGUCAUCCGCAAGUGUCAUUUGGGAUAUUGUAAACACACUCUAGGGGCGUGGCGUGGCGUGGCGUCGCUUAAACUAUGAUCCAGAGGUUAAUUAUAACCGGAGUUUGCUGAUCGACUACACGGUAACGUGUAGUCAAUUUCGUUGCCCGCGAUCGUUCUCAUACCGUUGCACCAGUCGGAGUUCCGCCUUCACAAUGAACAGGUUGUUAAUUUGGACAUCCAAUCCCAAAUGUGUGGGCUUGGUAAAAUUUGCAAGUUGGUAAAAAUGAGUGCUGAAUAGGCGCACUAAAAAGGCGGGCCAGAAUCGGAUAUUAGCCAUAGACGAAUUUUUCCAUCUCACCAUCAACUUCCAAAUAGCUGCAAGAAAGGCAAUCGAAGCAGGUUUUGACCAGCCUUCAAGAUUCACCAAGCAAACACACAAUCGACCAAUUCAUGAAAGAUUAAGUUUUUACCUCUUAUAGCGUUUAUGCUUCAUUUGUAUACGGUGCGACUUAAUUAGUAUGCCCCUAGCCGCAACGCCGCAACGCCGCAACGCGGCGGGGCUUACAUCUAGUUUCUAUUAAAGUGGCUCAACUAUUUAUCCGGUAUAGAUAUUUCUAUUAAAGUUGUUUGGAAAAUUUUGGUUGGUUUUUGCAUGCAAACCAAAUCUGAAUCGAUGUAAUCAGUUAUCCUCAAAACUAAAGACAAUCAUCAGUUAUUGAUUUGCAGGUCGGAUCUAUGGUAUAAUUAACUCAGCCUUGGACCUAGGGCCUCCAGACAAUACGGCUUUCAAUUAAAAGAAAAUUAAUAUGCUAACUAUUAAUUCG